AACGUAGGAGACAAACGUUAUCCGGAGUUACUGGGCGUAAAGGGCGUGUAGGUGGUUUUGUAAGUCUGGCGUGAAAUUUUUCGGCUUAACCGGGAAAGGUCGUCGGAUACUGCAAGGCUAGAGGACGGUAGAGGCGUGUGGAAUUCCGGGUGUAGUGGUGAAAUGCGUAGAGAUCCGGAGGAACACCAGUGGCGAAGGCGACACGCUGGGCCGUACCUGACACUGAUGCGCGACAGCAUGGGGGAGCAAACAGGAU
rnacentral:rRNA from 1 species